UGUCGGUUAGCUCAGUUGGUAGAGCAUCGCAAUUACACCUAUUUCCAAGGUCUGGAAUAAGAAAAACUGCGAAGGCCAUAGGUUCAAGCCCUAUACUGACCA